rnacentral:rRNA from 1 species
GGUUUGAUCCUGGCUCAGAUUGAACGCUGGCGGGAUGCUUUACACAUGCAAGUCGAACGGCAGCACGGACUUCGGUCUGGUGACGAGUGGCGAACGGGUGAGUAAUGUAUCGGAACGUGCCUAGUAGCGGGGGAUAACUACGCGAAAGCGUAGCUAAUACCGCAUACGCCCUUCGGGGAAAGCGGGGGACCUUCGGGCCUCGCACUAUUAGAGCGGCCGAUAUCGGAUUAGCUAGUUGGUGGGGUAACGGCUCGCAAGGCGACGAUCCGUAGCUGGUUUGAGGAAGGACGGCAGCCACACUGGGACAGAGACACGGCCCAGACUCCUACGGGAGGCAGCAGUGGGGAAUUUUGGACAAUGGGGGAAACCCUGAUCCAGCCAUCCCGCGUGUGCGAUGAAGGCCUUCGGGUUGUAAAGCACUUUUGGCAGGAAAAACGGCACGGGAUAAUACCCCGUGCAACUGACAGUACCUGCAGAAUAAGCACCGGCUAACUACGUGCCAGCAGCCGCGGUAAUACGUAGGGUGCAAGCGUUAAUCGGAAUUACUGGGCGUAAAGCGUGCGCAGGCGGUUCGGAAGAAGAUGUGAAAUCCCAGAGCUUAACUUUGGAACUGCAUUUUUUUAACUACCGAGCUAGAGUGUGUCAGAGGGAGGUGGAAUUCCCCACGCGUGUAGCAGUGAAAUGCGUAGAUAUGCGGAGGAACACCGAUGGCGAAGGCAGCCUCCUGGGAUAACACUGACGCUCAUGCACGAAAGCGUGGGAGCAAACAGGAUUAGAUACCCUGGUAGUCCACGCCCUAAACGAUGUCAACUAGCUGUUGGGGCCUUCGGGCCUUGGUAGCGCAGCUAACGCGUGAAGUUGACCGCCUGGGAAGUACGGUCGCAAGAUUAAAACUCAAAGGAAUUGACGGGGACCCGCACAAGCGGUGGAUGAUGUGGAUUAAUUCGAUGCAACGCGAAAAACCUUACCUACCCUUGACAUGUCUGGAAUCCCGAAGAGAUUUGGGAGUGCUCGCAAAGAGAACCGGAACACAGGUGCUGCAUGGCUGUCGUCAGCUCGUGUCGUGAGAUGUUGGGUUAAGUCCCGCAACGAGCGCAACCCUUGUCAUUAGUUGCUACGAAAGGGCACUCUAAUGAGACUGCCGGUGACAAACCGGAGGAAGGUGGGGAUGACGUCAAGUCCUCACUGGCCCUUAUGGGUAGGGCUUCACACGUCAUACAAUGGUCGGGACAGAGGGUCGCCAACCCGCGAGGGGAGCCAAUCCCAGAAACCCGAUCGUAGUCGGAUCGCAGUCUGCAACUCGACUGCGUGAAGUCGGGAUCGCUAGUAAUCGCGGAUCAGCAUGUCGCGGUGAAUACGUUCCCGGGUCUUGUACACACCGCCCGUCACACCAUGGGAGUGGGUUUUACCAGAAGUAGUUAGCCUAACCGUAAGGAGGGCGAUUACCACAGUAGGAUUCAUGACUGGGGUGAAGUCGUAACAAGGUAG